UAGCUCAGUGGUAGAGUGCUUGGCUACCACCCUUGGGGUCCUGGGUUCAAUCCCCAG
rnacentral:tRNA from 1 species